rnacentral:rRNA from 1 species
AGGCCGAAGGGAAUGAGAAUUUUUGAGUGGCGGCGGCCUAACACAUGCAAUGCUCCGAGCGGCAGCGGGAAAGUAGCUUGCUACUUUUGCCGGCGAGCGGCGGACGGGUGAGUAAUGCCUGGGAAAUUGCCCAGUCGAGGGGGAUAACAGUUGGAAACGACUGCUAAUACCGCAUACGCCCUACGGGGGAAAGCAGGGGACCUUCGGGCCUUGCGCGAUUGGAUAUGCCCAGGUGGGAUUAGCUAGUUGGUGAGGUAAUGGCUCACCAAGGCGACGAUCCCUAGCUGGUCUGAGAGGAUGAUCAGCCACACUGGAACUGAGACACGGUCCAGACUCCUACGGGAGGCAGCAGUGGGGAAUAUUGCACAAUGGGGGAAACCCUGAUGCAGCCAUGCCGCGUGUGUGAAGAAGGCCUUCGGGUUGUAAAGCACUUUCAGCGAGGAGGAAAGGUCAGUAGCUAAUACCUGCUGGCUGUGACGUUACUCGCAGAAGAAGCACCGGCUAACUCCGUGCCAGGCAGCCGCGGUA